UACGGAGGGUGCGAGCGUUGUCUGGAAUCAUUGGGCGUAAAGGGCGCGUAGGUGGCGGGACAAGCGUGCGGUGAAAGCUCGGGGCUCAACCCCGAGUCGGCCGUGCGAACUGUUUUGCUUGAGCACUGUAGAGGCAGGCGGAAUUCCGGGUGUAGCGGUGGAAUGCGUAGAGAUCCGGAAGAACACCGGUGGCGAAGGCGGCCUGCUGGGCAGUAGCUGACACUGAGGCGCGACAGCGUGGGGAGCAAACAGG
rnacentral:rRNA from 1 species